rnacentral:rRNA from 1 species
AACAAGCGCUGGCGGCGUGCCUAAUACAUGCAAGUCGAACGGGGUAGCAAUACCUAGUGGCGCACGGGUGAGGAACGCGUGGAUAAUCUGCCUUAGAGUGGGGGAUAACUAGUCGAAAGAUUAGCUAAUACCGCAUAAGACCACAGGAGCUGCGGCUCUAGGGGUCAAAGGUUUUUCGCUCUAAGAUGAGUCCGCGUAAGAUUAGCUAGUUGGUGAGGUAACGGCUCACCAAGGCGACGAUCUUUAACUGGUCUGAGAGGAUGAUCGGUCACACUGGAACUGAGACACGGUCCAGACUCCUACGGGAGGCAGCAGUAGGGAAUAUUGCACAAUGGAGGAAACUCUGAUGCAGCGACGCCGCGUGAGUGAUGAAGGCCUUCGGGUCGUAAAGCUCUGUCGCAGGGGAAUAACACAACGAAUGUACCCUGUAAGAAAGGAUCGGCUAACUACUUGCCAGCCGCCGCAGUAACAC